AUUGAACGCUGGCGGCAGGCCUAACACAUGCAAGUCGAACGAGUGGCGGACGGGUGAGUAAUGUCUGGGAAACUGCCUGAUGGAGGGGGAUAACUACUGGAAACGGUAGCUAAUACCGCAUACCAUCAGAUGUGCCCACAUGGGAUUAGCGAGCGUGUGGGGUAACGGCUCACAAAGGCGACGAUCCCUACCUGGUCUGAGAGGAUGACCAGCCACACUGGAACGUGUACACGGUCCAGACGCCUACGGGAGGCAGCAGUGGGGAAUAUUGCACAAUGGGGGCAAGCCGGAUGCAGCCAUGCCGCGUGUAUGAAGAAGGCCUUCGGGUUGUAAAGUACUUUCAGCGGGGAGGCGUUACCCGCAGAAGAAGCACCGGCUAACUCCGUGCCAGCAGCCGCGGUAAUAC
rnacentral:rRNA from 1 species